GCCUAGUUAGCUUAGUUGGUAGAGCGUCUACCUGGUAAGCGCUAGGCCGCGGGUUCGAUUCCCGCCCGGUGCG
rfam:Asian citrus Psyllid, Diaphorina citri - Florida Strain, whole genome shotgun sequence.